rnacentral:rRNA from 1 species
GAUGCACGCUGGCGGCGUGCCUAAUACAUGCAAGUCGAGCGAACGGACGAGAAGCUUGCUUCUCUGAUGUUAGCGGCGGACGGGUGAGUAACACGUGGAUAACCUACCUAUAAGACUGGGAUAACUUCGGGAAACCGGAGCUAAUACCGGAUAAUAUUUUGAACCGCAUGGUUCAAAAGUGAAGGACGGUCUUGCUGUCACUUAUAGAUGGAUCCGCGCUGCAUUAGCUAGUUGGUAAGGUAACGGCUUACCAAGGCAACGAUGCAUAGCCGACCUGAGAGGGUGAUCGGCCACACUGGAACUGAGACACGGUCCAGACUCCUACGGGAGGCAGCAGUAGGGAAUCUUCCGCAAUGGGCGAAAGCCUGACGGAGCAACGCCGCGUGAGUGAUGAAGGUCUUCGGAUCGUAAAACUCUGUUAUUAGGGAAGAACAUAUGUGUAAGUAACUGUGCACAUCUUGACGGUACCUAAUCAGAAAGCCACGGCUAACUACGUG